rfam:Tulasnella calospora MTT 4182 unplaced genomic scaffold scaffold_99, whole genome shotgun sequence.
GGGGUUCGAGCUGUACGCGUACCUCCUCGUGGUGAACCCUGGGCAACGCUCUGACGGAGCGGCUGAAUCGCGUAC